GAUGAACGCUGGCGGCGUGCCUAAUACAUGCAAGUCGAGCGAACAGACGCGGCGCUUGCUCCUCUGACGUUAGCCGCGGACGGGUGUGUAACACGUGGAUCACCUACCUAUCAGACUGGGAUCACUUCGGGACACCGGCGAUUAUACCGGAUAAUAUAUUGCUCCGCAUGGUUCGAUAGUGAAAGACGGUGUUGUUGGCACUUGUGGAUGGAUUCGCGCCGCAUUAGAUGGUUGGUGGGGUAGUGGCUUACCACGGCUUUGACGCGUAGCCGACCUGAGGGGGUGACCGGCCACAUGGGGACUGAGAUACGGGCCAGCCUCCUACGGGGGGCAGCGGUGGGGAAUAUUGCACAAUGGGCGGAAGCCUGAUGCAGCAACGCCGCGUGCGGGAUGACGGCCGUCGGGUUGUAAACCGCUUUCGCCUGUGACGAAGCGUGAGUGACGGUAAUGGGUAAAGAAGCACCGGCUAACUACGUG
rnacentral:rRNA from 1 species